ensembl:misc_RNA Metazoa_SRP Metazoan signal recognition particle RNA
GCUGGGUGUGGUGUCGCGUGCCUAUAGUCCCAGGUACUGGGGAGGCUGAGGCUGGAGAACCCUUGAGCCCAGGAGUUCUGGGUUGUACUGUGCUAUGCCGAUUGGAUGUCCGCACUAGGUUCGGCAUCAAUAUGGUGACCUCCUGGGAAUGGGGGACCACCAGGUUGCCUAAGGAGGGGUGAAAUGGCCCGGGUCGGAAAUGGAGCAGGUCAAAACUGCCCUGCUGAUCAGUAGCGGGAUCGCACCUAUGAAUAGCCACUGCACUCCAGCCUGGGCAACAUAGCAAGACCCCGCCUCUA